UGUCAUCUGUCCGUGUGGCUGUAGUUCCGCUAUUCAGCUGUGUGGCAUCAGCCCAUCUGACUUUGCCUGAGAGGAGUGGCUUAUGUGAUCUCAUCCUCAUACCUCCUGACCCAGAGGGCUGAUCUGGUGUUUAUGUAAGAGUUGUUUUGUUUCUUCAAGGCCAUCUCUACUCCGUUACAUUUACCGCAUCUGUGUUGAAAAGAGCGAAAUAUUUGGGGCCAAGGAAAGUGAAGGGACACAGAGAAGAAAACAUCCUGCAGCCAAGAAGGCUCCACACCCAUUUGCACUACUCAGGUGACCCUGAGGACACCGAUAAACCUCCAACUGGCCUCAAGGACUCUCUAAAAGAAUGCAAAUGACCAGCUGUCUGCAAGGAAUAUAAAUCCUUCCAUUCUCUACCAUCCAAUCAGAACUGAAGAAACUUCUUGGAUGAGAAGCGAAACAUCUUCAAAGAAAAACAAAGUCCAGUUGCCUUCUGAAAAAGCAACUUUCGGACCAUCAGAAAAGAUGCUGCAGUUUUAUAUUUCUGCAUUUGAUCAUACCAAGAAAAUAGGCACCAAUCCCAAGAUAGUUUCCUCAUAACGGGUAAGCUAUGAAUCUAUUUUAGUGGCUAGAUUCAGUCUACACACUCAGUCACAGUAUAAUUUAGCAUGGCAUACUGUUAUAAACUGAACUUCAAAUUUAUGCCUCUAGAGAACUGGCAACACUCAAUAUAACAGUAUUUUAUUCAUAUACUAGCAUAUUUACAUAAGACCUUGUCCUAUCCCCAACACCAUAGAUAUUUUUGGUUGAAAUUCUCAGUAUAGAAAACAAUUUUUUUGACCUGAGCACAUAAGAUGUGUUCUUACCAAGAAACAGCAAUAAAAAUAGUUGUGUGAAAGCCAAGCCAGAUAAUUACUUUGGGAAAGAAAAGUUACGUUGGCCUGGCCUCUCAGUUAAGAGCCUUAUUCUCUCAAUGGCUCUGACUGGUAUCUUUGGUUAAGUUUCCUUGAUUACACAGCAUGCCCUCAGAUACUUUCUUAGUUCCCAGGAUCCACCCAGAAAUCGAAUAUUAUUCCAGCCUAACUCUAGCUAGCUGGGACAGCCAAUGUGUUGAACUGUAUUCAGAUGAAAAGGCAGGUAAGUCAACCCACAUCAUUAACUCAUGCACACAUCUAUGUAGGUUAUUUUGUUGGCAGCCAGGUGCUAUUCUUGGAAAAACUGCUUUCUUCCCCAUCAACCUCUUCUGUCUUCCACGGGUGUCAACGCAAGAGGUCUAUUUAGUUUACAAUGGAUGCAUUUUGAAUGCAACUGUCAUGAACUGCAUGUGAAGGAAUGCAUGAAAUAAGUUUCUAGCUUGUAAAUGGUUGUGCAAAGGCAUCUAGCCAAGACAGCUUCCACACACAUUCACAUCCUCAUACAUAUUAAUCAGGGAGCCUAAUUUAAAUUUAUAUGUGAUUUGUUACAGAUUUUCUACUUCUGUCCAUACUCAGCAUUCCUUGUAAUUGUAGGGCAGGCUUUUUUUAUCUAACGUUUCAAAGUCCACUGCCAAUGUUUCAGUCUUCUCUGACCAAUGUUUCAAUUAAGCAUUGUGGGAUCCGAUGAAUUCUGGAUUCUUCUCCAUUCCCAGGCAUUUGUUCCAUCACUGGAAACAUCACAUCUGACAAUUUAAGGCAGGAAAGGGAUGACACAGCUUAUUCUGAAGUUGCCUCUCAAUAACAUUUCCCUCUGGAAAAGAAUUGCUUAUUGUUGUCUACUAUAGUUUCAUGCCUUCAGUGUGGGUUAAUUAGAUUUAUUUAUGUAAGAAGCAAACUUAAACCACCCCAAAUUACAGAGUAUGAUUCUAAAACCCCCUAUGACUCCACUGUUUGGGCCCUAUACUAGUUUUUAUAUAAUCGUGCAAUAGGGAAUUAUUGCAAAAAAUAAAAUAAAUGGCCCUUUAUACCAGAUGUACAUGCCAAUGAUACAAAUUGUUUUCCUUAAACUAAGCCAAAAAUGAAGUGAGCUGAGCUUAUAACUAAGUUAAAAAAAUAAUUGCAAUCACAUUUUGCAUUUUCAUUGUGAUUUUUUAAAAAAAUGAUCUUAGAACUUAUUGAGGAUGGUGAUCCUUCACCAGAAAACUAUGUAACUGCUUGUAUGUAAUCAUUUGCUUAGAAGUUCUAUGCUCAGUGAGAGAAGUUCUGUUCCUUGAUCCAGACAGAUUGGAUAAGAUUUUGUGCUUGUGUGACUUCCUAAGGAAACUUGCCAACAAAGAAUGCAGUGUUGUUAUGUAAAAAUGGGAAGUGAAUUCAGUUCCCUCAUAUGCAUUAACAGGAAACUAAUAUGG